AAUUCAGUGGUACAAGUUAGUAAGGAUGUUAUGUGUUUAGCAUUUGUGAAACAAGAUGAAGAAAGGGAACCAUCAAUUGUUAUAGGAGGACAUCAAUUGGAAGAGAACCUAUUGAUAUUUGACCUUCCUGGAAAGAAGAUUGGUUUCAGCUCAUCACUUAAACUUCAACAAACAUCAUGCUCUCAGUACGACAAUACCAUUCUAGGCUAAGCCCCUCUAUUCUAUAUAUGUAAUUUUCUAUUUCAAUAAUAAACUAGAUGGUCGGUGCCCGUGCAUUGCAUAGGCGUAUGACUUAUAUCGUUUUAUAUGUUAUUCUUCAUAAUUUCCUAUUUGGAUAAUAAAUUAGAUGUUCUAACUUCUAUAUACAAUUGAUAAACCAAUGUACGAGAUCUAUCAUUUUGCUGACUCAAAGAGUUGAUAGUAUAGUCAUGCAGUCCAUGGAUCGAUCCUCUAACCGGCUAUAUAUUUAGAUUACCAUUAGAGCCGUCAAUAUGGGCUAGGCUCGUUGGACUGGCUUGACCUAGUCUGUGAUUUGAUAGGGCUGAACUACGAGUUUUGGAGCCCAUUUAAGAAAAGAGUUUUUUAGCCCGGUCUGAAUAAGUCUGUCGAUUUGUGGAGCUUGAGAAAUAUGGAUAGAGCCGGUCCAUGGGCCAAAUAAAAAUUAAUUAAAAAAUAAUAAUAAGAUAGAGUAUUAAAAAUAACAAGAGUCUAAACUCAAAUCUGUUUAAAGUUUGAAAUAUUACAAUUUAAAAUCGGUCAUAGUUUUUGUGUUUUAUUACGAUCAUUGGAAAACAAUUAGGUUAUAUUUCUAUUUAGCUAUUUAUACUUUUACUUGAAAUCAAACUUAAUAAAUAUUAUAAAGAUAAUUUUAUUUGUGUAUUUAAUUAACAAAUAGUAACACUAACACCAUGUAAUAUUGUCUUGUCGAUAUUUAUGAUAAUAAAAAUUAUAAAAAAUAUACUUUUAAGAAAAAAGGGUUGGCCCGGCAAAGCCCGUAGCCCACGCACUUGUGGGAGCCUAUAGCCCACAUACUUAUGGGCUGAGCCGACAAUUUUCUAGCCCACACAAAAAAUGGGCUAGUCCGGCUUGGCCCGUCAAAUUUCAAAGCCUGUAUGGGUUAGCCCGGAUGGGGUGGGCCAACCCAUAUUGACAGCUCUAAUUACCAUCAUGACUACAUCUAGAGCCGUCAAAAUAGGUUUAGCCCAUGGGAUCGGUCCAAUCCAACUCGUUAUUGGGGUACGGUUGAGAUAGAUUUUUUCAAGCCCAUUUAAAAUUAGGGCUUAUGAUCCUUUAGCCCUUAAGGCUUGAUCAGGGCCGAGUUGGGGUCGGCCCAUGGGCCAAAACUAUUUAUUUAAGAGUAACUUACAUAAAUUUCUCUAGUGUAUGAGCUGAUUACUUAAAGGUACGUUAUGUUGUAAUAUUACGAAUCUUAUCAGAUUUUGGUAUGUCCAAAUACAUGUAUCUCGGGAUACAUGGACUCAAAAUUAGGUUAAUUUGUUCUAGAUACACUCUAUCUAGGAUACAUAGAUAAAUCUCGCACCCUCGCCACUCUCUAAUCUCACUCGCGUAUCUGGGGUGCAUCACACCAGAUACUGAGAUACAUAUAUCUAGUAUCCAAGAUACAUGCUAAUCACACUAUACUUUUUGCCAGUGUUAUUAAAACAACACCAUUAUUUGCCAUAUUUGAUUUGAAAAUCUUCUCAUCUUCUUGAUGUUAUACAAUUUUAAGUUUGAAAAGAUAAAAAACAAAAAAAGAAGGGCUAGCCCACCCCAGCAAGAAUAAUCUAACUGAUUUGUUCCACAGAACAUAUCAUACUUUCCUUAUCUCACGUUCUAUCUCUAAUUUUGUUAUAAUCUCAAAUUCCAUUAGCAAUUAUCCAUUUACCUAUUGGUAGCUAAGCAAGUAAGCAACAGAGAAAUAAGCAUAGUAUUAAGAGGAGAAAACUUUGACCGUAAAAGUCCGCAAUAACAACCAAUAUAUCAAAUUAUACAACGUUCAUAGUAUGGUCAUAACCCCCUAAAAAGGACUUUUAGUCAUUUAAUAUCUGAUUACAAAGCAAUAAUUCAAAUAAGAAAAAAGAAAUGAAGUAAGUAAAAAGCAAGAAAGUAAAUCCUAGAUAAUUUGCUCUUUGUUAUUGCUCUGUGCCUCAACAUUCAACAAUAUUUAUCUCCCUUUAAAAAUGAUUAAGGAUGAGCAUUUAUAAUAUUUAAUAAAAACAUCUAGAAGGGUCCUCCAAGUCGAUCUAUUCAAUCCAUUUCUCCUUUAAACCAUGUUACAUAUUUAAUCAUAAUUUUUUUAUUGAUAAACAAGAUCUGCACACAUUUUGUUACCGCACACAGAUACAAAAUAGUCUUUUUUUGUUUUUAUAAUCUAUUUUCACAAAUCAGGUAGCUAGUCCCAGUACAUCAAUACUGGUGGUGGUUAAUUAACUGCAUUUACCUUUUGAGCCAACAGACUAAAAAAAACCUCCCACUAUUCUUGUUUAAAAGGAUAUUUUGAAAAACUUAAAAUUUAAUUUGGUACAUAGUUAACUCUACUACUUUCAAUAACUAUUAAGUACUAUAAGUUUUGAACCCAUAAUAACACAAAUGCGAUGAAAAUAUAAACAUUCAACGACCACCACAUGAUGGGCGGCCUCCUUCCUUAAUCAAAGGUUUCGGUUCGAGCCCUGAUAUAAAAAAAUCUUUACCCCACCACUUAGUCCCGAAUGAAGCCCUAUACAAUGUAAAUUCGAAAUAGUCAGAUUUCAACGUCGAUAAAAAAAUAAAAUAUUCAACGCAUUAAUUAAAUUCACGUUUGAAAAUUGAGAUUAGAUGUCAACAUCAAGAAUCUCAAAUACGCGUAUAAAUCUGUCCAUGUGCAUGAGAUAACUCCAUGCUGACUAGAUUUUAUUCAAAGUCAAAGUUUUGACUUGUGAUCAUAUACUCUCUCCUGUACAUUUUACUUUCUUUUGCACACAGAAAAACAUGAAUUAAAAGCUACUCCCUGUCCCAAUUUAUGUGACCUACUUAUAAAAAAAAUAACAUAUUUUUAUAUUAAGUAAUAAUUUAACUAUAAAUGUCUAUUUUACCCUUAAUGAAAUGAUUUACAACCACACAAAUUUUUAUCAUUCAUUUUGGAUCACAAAUUUUAAAAGUCUUUCUUUCUUUCUUAAACUCCAUGCCGAGCCAAACUACCUCACAUAAAAUGGGACGGAGAGGGAGUAAUAUAAUUUAAUUAUUUUUAUUUAAUUUUAUUUUGAUCUAUUACUACUUUUUUUAAUCAUAAUAAUUUCUCUUUAUAUUUAUUGAGUAAUUAUCAAAUUAAAUUUUUUGUUAUUAAUUUUAUUUUGAUUUUCUUGAUCGGACUAUUUUUGAUAAACACGGCAUCUAAUAUGGACCAGAAAGAGUAAGAAAUACGGAACCAUUAUACAGCUUCACUAAAUGUCAACGGAAAUAAACAAAAGAAUCCAUAUAGACUAUAGUUGUCUAAGCUUAUUCUCUUACUAUAAAUUUGCAACUCCAUACUUAGAAUUUCUCAUUGGUCUAAUAAUCCAUUUACUUUUUUGUCUUUCUUUGUUUAGCAUGGUGACAUUCAAACUUCCUUUAUCUAUGCUUCUUUUAUUCCUUCUACUCAAUAUUUUUCUAUGCUCAUCUGAAGUACUAUACAUUCCAGUCACUAAAGAUGCAUCAACCCUAGAAUACAUUAUAGAAGUAGGUCAAAGAACUCCUUUAAUCCCCAUAAAACUCUUAAUCAAUCUUGGUGGUAGAAGCUUAUGGGUGGAUUGUGACAAAGGUUACAAAAGUUCAACUUACAAACCAGCAGUAUGUAAUUCCACACAAUGCACUUUUGCCAAAUCUCAUGCCUGUGGAGAUUGCAUAUUCAAACCUCAAGUGCAGCCUGGAUGUAGCAACAAUACUUGUUACAUUUGGGGUGAAAAUCCAUUGAUCAAUUCGUUUCACGAUCGCGCUGAAAUUGCUGAGGAUGUAUUGGCUAUUGGUUCUACUCCUGGUGUUCGUGUAACUUGGCCGCGGUUUAUUUUCUCUUGCCUUCUUGAUCAAGAUAUGAUGAGACAAUUCGCGAAUGGAGUCACAGGUAUUGAAUCAUAUAUUGUGUGAAUGCCUUAGUUUAAAAUUUAAAAUUGUCACAUAUAAUUGGUUAAUUGUUAAAUUAAAUUUAUAUGUAUGUAUUUUUAUCUUCUUCUUUUUUUUGUUAUAUUACACAUUAUUGAAUGAACCUUAGAAGUACAAAAAGGAGGCUGUAGGAGCCAUCACCUACCUUGCUCCAUUCAUAACAUAGAUGGUAGGAUUUUAAAUAAAGCUCACAAAAAAUUUAAGGGAUAGACCCAAUAGACAAUAGAAGUCACAAUAGGACCCACCUAAUUCCUUUUGACUUUAAAAUAUAUAACUCAGAGUGUUACAUAGUGAACAAAUUAAAGAAAAUGUCACAUGCAAAGUUUUGUCAUUUUAAUAGAGUAUUUAUUUUUUCUUCUCCUCCUUAGGUAGGUAAGGGGUUUAAUUGCACCAUAAACAAGUGUAGAGCGUAAGAAGUCAACCAUACAAUUUUUAACCCAAUUUGAGAAAGUACAAUUUUAAAUUAUUGAAUUGUAUUAUUUCUUAACAGGAGUUGCAGGUUUUGGACGUGAAAGUCCAGUUUCCAUUCCCAAUCAACUUGCUUUAGACUCUAGAUUCACCAAGAAAUUUGGUAUAUGUUUGAGCUCAUCUACAAAAUCUCGUGGGGUUAUUUUCAUCGGUUCUGGUCCAUAUUAUGUUUACAAUCCUAAGAAAAUCGAUAUCUCCAACGAUAUUCUCUACACCAAAUUAAUCGCAAAUACAAGGGGAGGAUUUGUGACUUCUGAAGAGUAUUAUAUCCAAGUUUCAUCCAUUCGAAUCGCGGGGCAAGACGUUCCACUAAAUAAAACAUUGUUAUCUAUUAAUAAGAAAAAUGGAGUUGCUGGGACGAGAAUAAGUACAGCUACACCUUUCACAAUUUUACACACUACCAUAUAUGAUGCUUUUAAAACUGCUUUCAUCAAGGCACUUCCAAAGAAUGUGACAAUUGUAGAGCCUCCUAUGAAACAAUUUGGACUUUGCUUUAGUUCGAAAAACAUUAAAAGCACCAACGUUGGACCAGAUGUUCCUGUGAUAGAUUUUGUGUUGCAUAAGCCUAGUGCAUUUUGGAGGAUUUAUGGGACAAAUUCAGUGGUACAAGUUAAUAAGGAUGUGAUGUGUUUAGCAUUUGUGGGACAAGACCAAACAUGGGAACCAUCGAUUGUGAUUGGAGGACAUCAAAUGGAAGAGAACCUAUUGAUAUUUGACCUUGUAGGAAGGAAUAUAGGUUUCAGCUCAUCACUCAAGCUUCAACAAGCAUCAUGCUCUAAGUACGAUAAUACCAUUCUAGGCUAAUAUAAGUACCAUUCUAGUCAAUUAAUUAUGUAAUUU
rnacentral:lncRNA from 1 species